rnacentral:rRNA from 1 species
CGGCAACAGCUCAAAUUUGAAAUCUGGCUCCCUCUGGGUGUCCGAGUUGUAAUUUGCAGAGGGUGCUUUGGCGUUGGUAGCGGUCUAAGUUCCUUGGAACAGGACAUCGCAGAGGGUGAGAAUCCCGUUUGUGGUCGCAUGCCUUCGCCGUGUAAAGCCCCUUCGACGAGUCGAGUUGUUUGGGAAUGCAGCUCUAAAUGGGAGGUAAAUUUCUUCUAAAGCUAAAUACCGGCCAGAGACCGAUAGCGCACAAGUAGAGUGAUCGAAAGAUGAAAAGCACUUUGGAAAGAGAGUCAAACAGCACGUGAAAUUGUUGAAAGGGAAGCGCUUGCAGCCAGACUUGCCCGUAGUUGCUCACCCAGGCUUUUGCCCGGGGCACUCUUCUGCGGGUAGGCCAGCAUCAGUUUGGGCGGUCGGAUAAAGGCCUCUAGCACGUUCCUUCCUUCGGGUUGGCCAUAUAGGGGGGGUGUAAUGCGACCAGCCCGGACUGAGGUCCGCGCUCUUGCUAGGAUGCUGGCGUAAUGGCUGUAAGCGGCCCGUCUUGAAACCGG